rnacentral:rRNA from 1 species
UAGUCCCAGCCGUAAACGAUGGGCACUAGGUGUGGGGGAGCAGAUCCUCCGUGCCGCAGCCAACGCAUUAAGUGCCCCGCCUGGGGAGUACGGCCGCAAGGCUAAAACUCAAAGGAAUUGACGGGGGCCCGCACAAGCAGCGGAGCAUGUGGCUUAAUUCGAAGCAACGCGAAGAACCUUACCAGGGCUUGACAUCACCGUGAGCCGGCGGAGACGCCGGGGCCGAAAGGAGCGGUGAC